UACGGAGGGUGCGAGCGUUGUCCGGAAUCAUUGGGCGUAAAGAGCGCGCAGGCGGCUUGGCAAGUCGGGUGUGAAAUCCCGGGGCUCAACCCCGGGACUGCAUUCGAUACUGUCAGGCUAGAGGUAGGUAGGGGAGAUCGGAAUUCCUGGUGUAGCGGUGAAAUGCGCAGAUAUCAGGAGGAACACCGGUGGCGAAGGCGGGUCUCUGGGCCGUAACUGACGCUGAGGUGCGAAAGCGUGGGAGCAAACAGG
rnacentral:rRNA from 1 species